UUGCCUCUAACUAACAACAGGAACUCGGGCAAAUCUUCAUCUGAGCCAGUUUCCCCUUUUCAAAACACUGUCAGUAAUUCAAGCUUGUGGGCCUGUUAUUUGCUGUGAAGAUUAAACAAUGCAUGGAAAGUGCUUAGGACAGCCCUGGGCCCUUGUGGGUUGGGCUGGAGAGGGGCGAGUGUGGUGGAACUGAGUUGAGCUGGGUAACAAUACCUCCUUGCAGGCACCCAACAUUUCACAGGGCAUUGCACACCCACAGUCCAGCCUCUGACUGCAGAUUAGGGCCGUGUGUCAGUUAGGGUUCUGGCAGGAAACAGAUGACACCUUGAAACUGUGUAAUUUGAAGAGAGUGUGAAGGAGGGUUUAAGAAACCAACAAAGAAUAGUGCAGUAGGCCUGGCUAUCAGUGGGUGGAGACGGAAGCCACCGCUGGGCUGAGAGGGCGAGAGGAGGAAGGGGUUACUGGAACCCAGAGAGGGCAGCUGGGCUGGAGCUGCGGCCUUUGGCAGAGACAGCAACCAACUCAUGCUGACCCAGCAAGGAGAGAGCUGGGGAAAUAAGUACCUUCCUCUCCCUUUUUUUCCUUCCCCUCCCCACUGUGGUCUGCCACUGCCUCCCUUUGCCCCAACCCAGAUAGAAGCUCAAGAGCAAGGAGGCCCGUGGUGGAUGGAGAAUGGUGGCAUGUCUCCGCUACAAAGCUGUGAGCUCCUUGAAGCCAGGGACCAAGUCUGAUCCAUCUUUGUGUCCCCUGGGGCCCAGCUCAGGCUGACAUACCUCACACUGGCCAGACCACAUCAGACAUGUUAUCUUCAAUUCCAAGCAACACAGAUUAAGGGCACAUUAGCCAAUUGGAGCCUGUUGAGCUGAGGGCAGUGGUGUGGAGUCUGGAGCCCAUGUUCUAUGCAGAACAGAAGCAUCAGGAAAGUUUAACUUGAAGAAGAGACCACUCCUGGGAUAGAAUUCAUUCGCUGACUCAACAGGCCAUAUCUGGGUACCUUCUCUGUAUGAGGAGGCCCUGGGCUGGGUCUGAGGGGGCCACAGAUGAUGCAGCUACAGUCCCUACCUGGGGAGCUCACAGGAUGGGGUCAGGCAUAGAAACAAGUAACUACAAUGCAGUGUGGCCACUGCCACCUGAGGGGGAUGUAGGGUGUGGCCAGGGAAGACCCCUCAGAGGAGGCCUUGCAGGAACACAAAGUUAUGACAAUGUUGGGGGCAGGUUUGAGCUUAGGAUAAGGACUAACUUUCUAACUGGCAGAACUCUGCAAGAAUGGAAGCUGCCUGCUCCAUAUCUCGGGCUGGGUGAGCAGGGCCAGGAUGACCACUGCACAUACUGCAUAUUGAUGUCUGUCAAUGAAAGGACCAAUGUGGAGGCUAUAGGGAAUGCCUCGUAAGGGUCGUUAAGCCACUCCUUCCUUUUAUGUGUUAGGUACUA